GAUGAACGCUGGCGGCGUGCCUAAUACAUGCAAGUCGAGCGAACAGACGAGGAGCUUGCUCCUCUUACGUUAGCGGCGGACGGGUGAGUAACACGUGGAUAACCUACCUAUAAGACUGGGAUAACUUCGGGAAACCGGAGCUAAUACCGGAUAAUAUAUUUAACCGCAUGGUUCAAUAUUGAAAGACGGUUUUGCUGUCACUUAUAGAUGUAUCCGCGCCGCUUUAGCUAGUUGGUAAGGUAACGGCUUACCAAGGCAACGAUGCGUAGCCGACCUGAGAGGGUGAUCGGCCAAACUGGAACGGAGACACGGUCCAGACUCCUACGGGAGGCAGCAGUAGGGAAUCUUCCGAAAUGGGCGAAAGCCUGACGGAGCAACGCCGCGUGAGUGAUGAAGGUCUUCGGAUCGUAAAACUCUGUUAUUAGGGAAGAACAAAGGUGUAAGUAACUAUGCACGUCUUGACGGUACCUACUCAGAAAGCCACGGCUAACUACGUG
rnacentral:rRNA from 1 species